AAUUGGUCUUAUACCAAUUGGAGUCACACACAUAAGGUUUUAAGCCAAAACACACACUGUCCUACUAUACACUUCUCAUCACUUACCAAUUACAUAUUCAACACUUACCAAAUUACUUCCUUCAUGCCAAUUCUGGUUUGUACCUUACCAUUAACACAUUUAACAACACAUUUUGGACAGCUUGUAACCAUUCUCAAUAUGCACAUUAUAAAACAGAAUUUUCCAAAGUCCAUUUACACCAUUUAACCACAUGAACAUACCCCAUUUACAUACCCAAUUCCAAACCAUUAUACACAUAUACAUGCUGCCAUUAAUAACAACAUAAUUUAAUAACCCAAACCAUGAAACAACACAUUUUAAACUGCACUUUAAAGUUUUCGAUUUGCACAUUUCCUUCAAAUAGCUUCCAAGCUUCCAAAACCAAGUGCACUAUUACACAUACACUUAGUAUAAAUUAUCCAAAUUAUUUCUAUAUACAUAAAAACUUAUACCAACAUCUUAAACUACCAUAAACAAGUAAAAACAAGCUACAAUAGUGAGUUUCCAUGGCUGCCAAAAUGGUGUAUCACCAUUCAAUCAUCAACAUAAAAAAUUCUUCCAUAAAUCAACUACUCACAACCUUGGUUACACUUUUAAUGAAACAAGAAU
rnacentral:misc_RNA from 1 species